CUGGCUCAGGACGAACGCUGGCGGCGUGCUUAACACAUGCAAGUCGAACGGGAAGACAUUUCUAACACCG
rnacentral:rRNA from 1 species